CGCUAAACUAAGCGAGACAGUUAGCCUGGUCAGGACCGGUCCGUCUUGUUCGCAGGCCUAAAUUACUAUGGUAAUUCAGCGGGGAUUCAUUUAAGACACGUUGAUGGAACGGAACUCUCACUUAAAGCCACACAUCCAGCGGAGAGCUUUGACAAGCCUGGAGCCAUUCCCAGAAUCUACUGUGAAGAGGAUGUUAGGCCGUCACAGGACAUCCCCUGAACAGUAUACACACCCACACACAAAGGGCAACUGUAACACACUGGCCCAUCUGAACUGCCCUUGGUUUGAGGAUCAAUACCAUCAUAGGUCCCAAGCAUGUACAGACGGCGAGCUAUUCCAGUUCUUUAUGACCAGUUCAGCCAGUUGCUGAAUGGACGUUUAACCCACAUCAACAGGAUUAGGUCAACCUCCAAGGCAAGAAUAACUCCACCAGUGAUGGAUUCCAUCUGUUUCUGGAAGCAGAGGCUGCAUAUGUCAUUUCGCUUCUGCCCUGUUGCAUGCUGGCUUGUUGUACUCACGCUGCUCUGUCAAGGGGAAAAAAUCAUCAGUCAAAUUCAGCCACCCACCUGCUCAUUCACCCUGCCUCUUGUCUGGAUAUAUAACGUCAGGAGUUUGUCCAAAUGGAUUUUUUUUACAGAACACUUGCAGCACAUUGCCAAUGACAUUUCAUGUGAAAAUAGUGAAUUAUGAAAUAAAGCAGCCAGUCAUGACAGUAGCUCAGGCACAGAAAUUAUCCUUCUAGCAAAAAUUAAUUGCUCAGUUUCCGAUAUCUUGGAAAUGCAUUUUCCACUGAACAAAUAUGGAGUCUCCCUGUAUGGUGAUGGACAGCUUGAAUUUAAAUAGGCUGUGAAAGCUAAUGUUAGAAACUUUCGGAAAAAUGUGCAUUUUUAAGGGAAAUAUGUAUAUUUCUUUGCCAGUGCACCAUUAAUAAAC